CCUCGUGUCGCUCAACCGCGCCGACGGCGCGGCGCUCGAGACGCUGCCGCGCGUCGGACCCGCGCUCGCCGGCGCGAUCCUCGCGCACCGCGAGGA
rnacentral:tRNA from 1 species